rnacentral:tRNA from 1 species
GAGCGCGUAGCUCAGCUGGUAGAGCAUCUGACUUUUAAUCAGGAGGUCAUGGGUUCGAAUCCCAUCGCGCUCACCA